ACUAGAACUACAAAUGUAAUUUAACAUCACAUGUUUGGCUUAAUUAAAUUAUAAAUGUAGCACAUUCAAACGGGGUAUUAUAGUAUAGAAAGGGGGACUCUUCUUGGUUUAAUUUAAACUUCUGCUGGAGUGGAGUUCUUCUGCCUUGAGAGUGCAAACUGAGUAUAAUUCAGGGAAGAGACUUUGUCUUGAAACAGAGGUAAAGAGUUUCAGAAAAUCAUCUGAUCUAUCACCAGAAUCAAGCGAAUACAGAUACAGAAACAGAUAAUACAAGAUGUUAUGCUGAAUCGAAUGGUUUAAUAUCUUCUUCAAUAUCUAUAAUAUCUGAAUCCUUUUCCUCGUACCCCAACUAGCAUCUUUCCGAUGUGGCAAGUGAAGACGACGAGCAACACGAAGGCCGCGUAAAGAGUCAAAGAUUCGGCUUUGCUGUCUUCGGUUUUUCGUUCCUUUCGAUAAUAUUUUACGAAACCAUCGCUACCUGGGAUACCGGUGGUAAACAACCGGUGAUUCACGAGAUAAACAUUCAAUUUUGGGACUUGAUGUUGCUGAAUCUUCUUUGAGAAAAGCGGAUUUUCUUGAAACAUCAGUCGAAUAUCAACAGAAUCUCAUCAUGGAUUACCUACGUUCCCUGGAGCACAAAGAAUUGAUUGAACUAGCCGAAUCCAUGGACAGUUCGGCGAGCUCGUUGAGUGACGAACCAAUCAAAUUGCAAAAAAUGCUGGAUCAUAUCAUAAGCAGCAAUUAUAGCACCGCUUUAGUCGAUCAAGCUAAGGAGAUUUUACGCACCAUCAAUGGAGCAGAAUUGGAGAAGGCCGAUAUCUUGGAAUUGAAGGAAACCAAAGACUUUGAGCGUCUAGCAAAAGAGGUUGGCUUACUCAUUGCUGAACGAAAUAACCGAAAAUGUAACUUAAUGUAGUUUAGUUUAUAAAAUAAAUUAUGCCCUGAGCAUAGUUGAUCAUGAUUUCUUAAAUGAUGGGUAUAGUUUUUUACUUUGCAGAACGCAGAGACGUAAAAGUAAUCAUAACUGACGCUAUUACGCUUUCCUUGACCUAACCGAUUAUAACUUGUUAUAAUACCAUUAAAGAAUCUCUAGUUAUUGUA